UACGGAGGGUGCAAGCGUUAUCCGGAUUCACUGGGUUUAAAGGGUGCGUAGGUGGGCAGUUAAGUCAGUGGUGAAAUCUCCGGGCUUAACCCGGAAACUGCCAUUGAUACUAUCUGUCUUGAAUACCGUGGAGGUGAGCGGAAUAUGUCAUGUAGCGGUGAAAUGCUUAGAUAUGAACAUAGAACACCAAUUGCGAAGGCAGCUCACUACACGAAUAUUGACACUGAGGCACGAAAGCGUGGGGAUCAAACAGGG
rnacentral:rRNA from 1 species